GCCAGGCGUGAUGGCUCACGCCUAUAAUCCCAGCACUUUGGGAGGCUGAGGCAGGCAAAUUGCUUGAGCCCAGGAGUUCGAGAGCAGCCUGUGCAACAGGGUGAAACCCUGUCUCUACAAAAAAUUAGCCAGGCAUGGUGGUAUGCACAUGUAGUCCCAGCUACUCAGGAGGCUGAGGCAGAAGGAUCACUUGAGCCCAGGAGGGAGAGGUUGCAGUGAGCCGAGAUUGCAGCCGCUGCACUCCAGCCUGGGCAACAGAGUGAGACCCUGUCUCA
ensembl:misc_RNA Metazoa_SRP Metazoan signal recognition particle RNA